rnacentral:rRNA from 1 species
AUGGAGAUGAGGCAAGAUGCAGACAUGGAUCAACUUGUUAAAGAAGUAAUGGAGAAUGAUAUGGUUCUACGAGCUAUUGUUGGUGAAGCUGAGAUGCUGAUAUUCCCAUCUAUUCUACUGCCUGAGCAACACCAAACUUUCCAAGGAAAACCCUACCUGUGGGCGGUAUUUAAGCGCAGAAUAGUGGAAGAGGAACAACAUGGCAAAGGACGUUGUGCACAGGAGAAGGGAAAACAGCUGGCUUCACUUUUCAGUGUGGGAGAAGGAUUAAACAUUGAUGCUGGACUAGAAGCUUCUGAGGAACCGGAGAUGCAAGGCAUGGAGCCGGAACAAAAUCCCAAGUUGGCUCGACCGAACGCGCCGAGUCCGACAACUAAAGCUCCUACCACGGCUGCAGCUACAAUGUCUGCAAACCACUGUCAAGACCACUCAAACAUGGCUGCUCCUACAGGAGCUUUGUUUGGUUUUGUGGUUCAGCGAACCCCGAGACUUGAGCAACUCAUCCAAGAGAUGCAACGCGAAGGUGCUGUGAUGGUUGCAAUGCAAGGGCAGAUGAUAGGGCCAGGCAUUGGCUUGUGCAGGCAGUAG